GAUGAACGCUGGCGGCGUGCCUAACACAUGCAAGUCGAGCGAGAUGUAUAUGGACGAAACUUCGGUCUAGGAAGUAUAUUGACAGCGGCGGACGGGUGAGUAACGCGUAGGCAACCUGCCCUUAACACAGGGAUAGCCUCGGGAAACCGGGAUUAAAACCUGAUAAUGCCAAAUAGUCACAUGGCUGUUUGGCCAAAGAUUUAUCGGUUAAGGAUGGGCCUGCGUCUGAUUAGUUUGUUGGUGGGGUAACGGCCUACCAAGACUACGAUCAGUGGCCGACCUGAGAGGAUGAUCGGCCACAUUGGAACUGAGACACGGUCCAAGCUCCUACGGGAGGCAGCAGUGGGGAAUAUUGCACAAUGGGCGAAAGCCUGAUGCAGCAACGCCGCGUGAGCGAUGAAGGCCUUUGGGUCGUAAAGCUCUGUCCUUGGGGAAGAAACAAAUGACGGUACCCAAGGAGGAAGCCCCGGCUAACUACGUGCCAGCCGCCGCGGUAAGAC
rnacentral:rRNA from 1 species